AUGCUGAGAACUCUAAGGAUACUGCCUCCGUAAGGAGGAGGAAGGUGGGGACGACGUCAAGUCAUCAUGGCCCUUACGCCUAGGGCUACACACGUGCUACAAUGGGGUGCACAAAGAGAAGCAAUACUGCGAAGUGGAGCCAAUCUUCAAAACGCCUCUCAGUUCGGAUUGUAGGCUGCAACUCGCCUGCAUGAAGCUGGAAUCGCUAGUAAUCGCAAAUCAGCCAUGUUGCGGUGAAUACGUUCCCGGGUCUUGUACUCACCGCCCGUCACACCAUGGGAGUUGUGUUUGCCUUAAGUCAGGAUGCUAAAUUGGCUACUGCCCACGGCACACACAGCGACUGGGGUGAAGUCGUAACAAGGUAACCGUAGGUGAACCUGCGGUUGGAUCACCUCCUUU
rnacentral:rRNA from 1 species